UACGGGGGGACCAAGCGUUGUUCGGAUUUACUGGGCGUAAAGGGCGCGUAGGCGGCGUGACAAGUCACUUGUGAAAUCUCUGAGCUUAACUCAGAACGGCCAAGUGAAACUGUUGUGCUAGAGUGCAGAAGGGGCAAUCGGAAUUCUUGGUGUAGCGGUGAAAUGCGUAGAUAUCAAGAGGAACACCUGAGGUGAAGACGGGUUGCUGGGCUGACACUGACGCUGAGGCGCGAAAGCCAGGGGAGCAAACGGG
rnacentral:rRNA from 1 species